rfam:Hepatitis C virus isolate QC180, complete genome
UAAGCUUCUGUCCAUGGGAGGAAAAGCCGCUAUAUGCGGCAGAUACCUCUUUAAUUGGGCAGUGAAGACC